ACCACAGGAUCCCUCACGCACUCCAGGUCACAAGCGCUGGGACCAAGCAGUAUAACCGCAUCCGUCUCCUGGUCACAGAAGAUAUCUGAGAGAUUGUUGUUCACAUUUGAACCAAGAUGUCGCUGAAAGUCCAGACGAGCAACAUUACCAACAAAAAUGACCCCAAAUCUAUCAACUCACGUGUGUUUAUCGGCAACCUGAACACAGCGGUGGUGAAGAAGAGCGACGUCGAGACGAUCUUCUCCAAAUACGGCCGUGUGUUGGGCUGCUCGGUUCACAAAGGCUUCGCCUUCGUUCAGUACGCUAAUGAGAGACACGCUCGUGGAGCCGUCAUUGGAGAAAAUGGACGUGUGCUUGCUGGACAGACCCUCGACAUUAACAUGGCAGGUGAACCCAAACCCAGCAGGCCUAAAGGACUAAAGAGAACCGCAGCGACGUUAUACAGUGGUUAUGAUUUUGACUAUGAUUACUACAGAGAUGACUUCUAUGACAGACUGUUUGAGUACCGAGGCAGAGUAUCACCGGUGCCCAGAGCGGUUCCAGUAAAGCGCCCCCGUGUGGCAGUGCCGGUCGUCCGCAGGGUGAAGUCAUUACCUGUCAAACUCCUGACCAGAUCCACUAUCCUUCCCAACAGCUCUGUCAAACACAAGUUGAAAUCAACCGAGUUGCAGGCUAUCAAAUCAGAACUGACGCAGAUCAAGUCCAACAUCGACGCGCUGCUGGGACGUCUCGACCAGAUCACAGAGGACAAAUACUGUGCCACAGAGUUGCAGAAGGCAGAGGAAAUGAAGAGCGAGCUGUCUCAGGACGAGUCGGGCUCAGAGUCAGAGGAACUGCAGCACAGUGAUGUGGAGGACGGAGAGGAGCACUCACACGAGGAGUGUGACGAAGACAUGGAAAACAAUCACAUAUCUGAAAUGGAUUCCAUUCUUCAAUAAAAGGCAAGAACUCAAAGCUGGGACAAUGGAUUCUUGGAGCACAGUGAUAAUUCAAACCAUGAGAUGUUUUACACGUUUCCAAGCUUGAGUUUCAACAUCUAAUCAAGAUUGUUCUUCAUGCAGAAAACAGAUUGUGAAACUGAAGUUACAGGGAGUUGGAAAACACUGUCGACUGGAAACUUUUUUAAUACCACAGACUCAGCGGGAAGACACCGAAACCAACAGGCGCCGUCAAACUCCAGCAUCAGCUGUCAAUGAGACAGACAGCUAAACUAGCUGUUUGGUGGGAGGGAGGAGGGGAAUGUCCCCUAAACCAGGAAUCCAUUACAAAAAGAGCCAGAGUUCUUGAGAGCAACAACAUCACACACGCGACAACAGAUGGAGAUCAAUUUCACAGACAUUCUGCAUUCAUGCUCCCCACAAAACACUAUUAACAUGCAGUUUUUCUACACAUUUUGGCACCUCAUAUGUAAAUAGCCUCAUCUUAUUUCUGUCCUUCCUUUCUUCAUGUCUGUUUGUGCUUUUGGAAAAAUGUUUUUCAUUUUAUUUAUAUGCCAGUCGGAAUCAGAAAGGUUGGCUAUUUUUAAUUACGUGUGCAUAUUUCUUC